CAUAAGUACAGUUGGUGUACCGGUCUCGAAGAUUCCGGUAGUGAUGCUGCUUGUUGGACGGAACGGAGAGGCGGCCAUUGGUUCCGAUGCAAACUGAAACAAAAGGAUAUAGACGUUUAACGUUGAUUGAAAUCAACUCAGGUUUCCCUAGUGUGUCAAGAACGACUCUCUGCUUGCAUUAUGCUAGCUAGUUAGGUCUGCUCGAGUAAGCAAGAGGUGCAGUAGCCUUGAGCAGACAAUUAAUACUAGAACUACCAAGACCGUGUACUUUAUACUUCUUUCUAAAAUUACUGAAUUAUUGACAACGCUUUUACUACAAUUUUUGAUAUCAUUGAGUAAAUUUAUAAGAGGCACGAUUCGAAUGAUAAGCCUUGAUACUAUUGCUAGAAAUGCUAGAAAAUAACAAAGACUAAAUGAACUACCAUUUCUAUUCUCUACGUCAUAAUUUAACCAAACAUCGAGGACAUCCAUAGACAUCUGAUAUACUUGAAAGCUUUCGUUAAAAAUUCCAUCAACAAUAAGUGCUUUCGCUGGUUGUAGAUCUAAUUGAAAUUUCCAAAAGUCACACCUUGUUAACAAGUAUCUCUGAUUGCAGAGUACUGUUAUCGACCAAGUCGCGGCGACGUUUCGUAAACGUUCGGAGCAUAAACACUCGUCGCGCGACUUCCGUGCGUCGACGACCCCCUGUUCAUAGAAUCACUCCGUGGAACGGGCUGAGGUCGCCACCCACAUCGUUGAAAGCGCUUCCCCGAUCUAUAGAUAGCUUUCUAAGCUUUGAAAGCGUGCCGUGGCGGGUGGGCGAACCACUUCCGCACACACGAGUACGCGCUUGGAUUUGUUGUGUAAUCACACACGUAUCCCCAACGUGUCGCAACACACUCUUGCAAGCUAACACAGUGCGUAAAAGUAACCCUAAGCGAUCGCAGACUCUCAUCCACUUCGCAAUGAUACUGUUCCUAUUUGCACACAUCGCAUCGUUAAUAUCCAAUGCGCUGAAUUAACGGCAGUACGAUUUAUCGACAUCUAAUAUAAAAAUACAUUUAAUACAAUAUAUAAAUUUACUUAAUAUUAAACAUAUUUAAUGCAUCAAUGCAUCGGUUCAAAGUGAACCGUUCCCCUCAGCCUUUGUCCUAUUCUCCAACUCCCUGACUAUAAUAUAAAUGAAUAAUAAAAAAUAAAUAAAUACUAUAUUUAAUAUAAAAAUAAAUAUGAUGGGUUCGAAGUGAACCGUUCUCCUCAGCCUUUAUCCUAUUCUCGACUCCUCGCUUCCCAAGCCAACCCAAGAAGAAAACGGCCCAGCCAUCGGCUAUUCUCGUCGAAAAACGUAAUUGGAUCAAUUACCAUUCGCGCCGGCAACUAAACCGCCGGUAUCGCGGCAAUAUCAUUCAUAAGUUGGCUAAUAACCGGAACAUCGAUCGACGAGGGCCCGAUCGCUCACGCCCUUCGCAAAAACGCUCGUCGAUGAUCGACAGACGUCGAAACCCUGCCCCCAUCCCCAUGUU